UGGGAUCUAGCUCAGUUGGCAGAGUGCCUGCCUUGCAUGCACAAGGCCCUGGGUUCAAUCCCCAGCACCACAC
rnacentral:tRNA from 1 species